rnacentral:rRNA from 1 species
CCUACGGGUGGCAGCAGUGGGGAAUAUUGGGCAAUGGGCGCAAGCCUGACCCAGCGACGCCGCGUGAGGGAAGAAGGCUUUCGGGUUGUAAACUUCUUUUCUCAAGGACGAAGCAAGUGACGGUACCUGAGGAAUAAGCCACGGCUAACUACGUGCCAGCAGCCGCGGUAAUACGUAGGUGGCAAGCGUUAGCCGGAUUUACGGGGUGUAAAGGGGGUGUAGGCGGGACGGCAAGUCAGAUGUGAAAACCACGGGCUCAACCCGAGGCCUGCAUUUGAAACUGUAGUUCUUGAGUACUGGAGAGGCAGACGGAAUUCCUAGUGUAGCGGUGAAAUGCGUAGAUAUUAGGAGGAACACCAGUGGCGAAGGCGGCCUGCUGGACAGCAACUGACGCUGAGGCUCGAAAGCGUGGGGAGCAAACAGGAUUAGAUACCCUAGUAGUC